AUGUCUAGAACCGCGCGCGAAAAUGCGCUCCAGGAGCCGGAUGUCCGGGCCACGGGCCGGAUGUUCGGGGGGCUAGAUGUCCGGGGCUACGGGCCGGAUGUCCGGGCUCCAAAUCCGAGGAUGAACUCGAGGAACUCGAUUUUGGGGGCGGAAAUUGAUGAUUUCGGGGGCAAAAUUGGAGAGAUUUCGUGGAUGGAAAGUGGGAAAAAUUGGGGGAAAGCUAGAUCCACAAGUAACAAAGCAAAUCCACGGAUCAAAUUCAACAAAACAUCAUCAAACCAACAAAUCACAAAAAAAAAUUGGGGCUAUUUUUGGUGGGGAUUUUCGAAAUUGGGGAAGAAAUCAACAAAAUUAGGCUAG
rnacentral:rRNA from 1 species